rnacentral:rRNA from 1 species
CGGAGGAAAGAACCAACAGGGAUUGCCCCAGUAGCGGCGAGUGAAGCGGCAAAAGCUCAGAUUUGGAAUCGCUUCGGCGAGUUGUGAAUUGCAGGUUGGCGCCUCUGCGGCGGCGGCGGUCCAAGUCCCUUGGAACAGGGCGCCAUUGAGGGUGAGAGCCCCGUGGGACCGUUUGCCUACGCUCUGAGGCCCUUCUGACGAGUCGAGUUGUUUGGGAAUGCAGCUCUAAGCGGGUGGUAAAUUCCAUCUAAGGCUAAAUACUGGCGAGAGACCGAUAGCGAACAAGUACUGUGAAGGAAAGAUGAAAAGCACUUUGAAAAGAGAGUGAAACAGCACGUGAAAUUGUUGAAAGGGAAGGGUAUUGCGCCCGACAUGGAGCGUGCGCACCGCUGCCCCUCGUGGGCGGCGCUCUGGGCGUGCUCUGGGCCAGCAUCGGUUUUUGCCGCGGGAGAAGGGCGGCGGGCAUGUAGCUCUUCGGAGUGUUAUAGCCUGCCGCCGGCGCCGCGAGCGGGGACCGAGGACUGCGACUUUUGUCUCGGAUGCUGGCACAACGGCGCAACACCGCCCGUCUUGAAACACGGACCUCCUGUGUGAAGGGAUUCCGCUA